rnacentral:rRNA from 1 species
ACUGUCAAGAAAAGUCUCUAUCGAGGUUAAAGGUACCCGUACCGCAAACCGACACAGGUGGGUGAGGAGAGUAUCCUAAGGCCAGCGAGAGAACUGUUGUUAAGGAACUCGGCAAAAUGACACCGUAACUUAGGGAUAAGGGGUGCCACCAUCAGGUGGCCGCAGAGAAUAGGCCCAAGCGACUGUUUACCAAAAACAUAGGUUUCUGCUAAGUCGCAAGACGAUGUAUAGGAGCUGACGCCUGCCCGG